UUUUGGAGCGCUUUUUUGUGCUAAGAAGCAUCUCUGGGGGUCUUUACUGUCCACGGCUAUUAGGCAAAGCUAAGCCUCCUCAUGACGUGCUCUCUAAGUCCACUUUGAAAGUUCUGCACAACAUACAUUUGUGUAUCGGUUGUUUGAUUGACUCUGUUAUGUGUCCCGUGAGUCCGUCUCCUCGUUGUUUGUUUCUUCUGCUCUAUGCGUUUGAAUUUCCCCCUGGGAUUAAUAAACACGAUGUAAUCGAAAAGCAAUCACAACUUUACAAAUUAAAGAUUAUAGAACGAGUACUUACUGCAUCAAAAGGCAGAUCAGUCUAAACCAGCGCCUCCCAACCCGGGGGCCGUAGUGACAUUGCAGGUGGGCUACGGCCAAUGCGGGAUGAAAACACACACCCCUCCCCCACCUCACCAUCCCAACAAUCUCUUGAUUCACAGGUGGAUCACGGCCAAUCCUGGAUGACAGCCCCAACUCCGGUUCUGUGGGUCGCGCUUGAUUCAUCCGAUGCUCUGGUGGUACCAGAGGACCCCACACUCCCUUUGACAAUCUCAUGGGGAAACAUCCCCCCCCAAACGAUCGCUCUAAACCCCCAGAUGCGGUAGCACGAGCCAAUGAGUUUGACCCAAUUUCAACCCACAUCUCCAUGAAGACCAAACUUCACCUCCUCCGGACGCUGCUCCUGCUGGUCCUCCUUUAUGGAUCACAAGCAUGGAUGGACCUUACUCAACCUGGAUCUGAACAAACUCGAGAGAAAUCAUUCAAUUGACUGGCAGAACUCAUGUAGGACACCGUUGGACAAACAUCUUCUGUCACGUGCACACGGGUGACGGAGAAUGUGAGGUCUUCUAAUGGAGGCACGUAAGUCAGGUUCCCACCGAUGAGGACAGCGUUGGACUCGUGCUGCUGUGGCCCACUUUUCAGUCCUCAUCCUCCUCUCGCUUAUGAAGAAGACCCUGAGAUACCUGAGGCACAGUAGUGUAGUCCAGGGUAUACGCAGAUGAGAUAUUCUAAGACACGGUUUAUAAAAGAAUCUCCUUUCCUCAUGGACUAAGAAAAUGGAUACAUUAUGCAGUCGACUCCCUCUGUAAUCUAUGAAGCAGACAGAUCUGCAUCUCUGGUUUGUUGAUCUCAUAAAUGAUCCUUGAAGUGAAUGAAGUCCGGCAGCAGAUGGAAACAGUGCUGUCCCUUUCUAGUGGGAACUAAAUAUGUCAGACUGUCACUAUUAAUAACGGGGCACUUUGUUCUUUUGCUGUGUAGGCCGCUAAAAAAUUUGGGGGCUGAAUUCACAGUAUACCCACUUCUCCAGACACCACUGCACCAGGCAGCAGGUCGUAGCCAACCUCGAGAGGGCACGCCACCAUCUUCUGGCUGAGAGCUUUUGGGGGCAUCACCGGCUGCACACACCCACCCAGUGCGUGUCUGACGUCACAGCCCACUGAAGCAGAGAUGUGAUCCUGAGGUCACCGAACUGGACACCCC